GAGAGGAUGAUCAGCCACACUGGAACUGAGACACGGUCCAGACUCCUACGGGAGGCAGCAGUGGGGAAUAUUGCACAAUGGGCGCAAGCCUGAUGCAGCCAUGCCGCGUGUGUGAAGAAGGCCUUCGGGUUGUAAAGCACUUUCAGUCGU
rnacentral:rRNA from 7 species